rnacentral:rRNA from 1 species
CUCGGAUAACCGUAGUAACACUAGAGCUAAUACGUGCGUAAAUCCCGACUUUUGGAAGGGACGUAUUUAUUAGAUUUAUGGCCAGCCGGGCUUGCCCGACCAGCGGUGAAUCAUGGUAACUUGACGGAUUGCAUGGCCUUCGUGCCGGCGACGUGUCAUUCAAGUUUCUGCCCCAUCAGGUUUCGACUGUAGUGUAUUGGACUACAGUGCCUAUAACGGGUAGCGGAGGAUUAGGGUUCGAUUCCGGAGAGGGAGCCUGAGAAACGGCUACCACAUCCAAGGAAGGCAGCAGGCGCGCAAAUUACCCAAUCCCAACUCAGGGAGGUAGUGACAAGAAAUAGCAAUGCGGGGCUUCUUGCUCUGCAAUUGGAAUGAGAACAAUUUAAAUCACUUAACGAGUAUCAAUUGGAGGGCAAGUCUGGUGCCAGCAGCCGCGGUAAUUCCAGCUCCAAUAGCGUAUAUGUAAGUUGUUGCGAUUAAAAAGCCCGUAGCUGAACCUCGGGCAACCCUGACGGUCCGCGUUUCGUGAGUACUGUCGUGGGUUGUCUUUCUGGCAAGACCGUAUCUCGGUGUUAACUCGCCGGGAACGGCGCUUGCCAAGGUUACUUUGAGUAAAAUAGAGUGUUCAAAGCAAGCUCGCGCUCUGAAUACACUAGCAUGGGAUAACACGACAUGACCGAUGGUCUAUCUUGUUGGCCUGUAGACCUGUUGGUAAUGGCUAAUAGGGGACGGUCGGGGGCAUUCGUAUUUCGCUGUCAGAGGUGAAAUUCUUGGGAUUUGCGAAAGACGAACUACUGCGAAAGCAUUUGCCCAGGACGCUUUCAUUAGUCAAGGACGAAA